AUUGAACGCUGGCGGCAUGCCUAACACUUGCAAGUCGAGCGAGCGGCGGACGGGUGAGUAAUGUAUGGGGAUCUUCCUCAUUGCGGGGGUUAACUACUGGUAACGGUAGCUAAUACCGCAUACCAUCAGUUGAACCCAUAUGGGAUUAGCUUGUAGGUGAGGUAACGGCUCACCUAGGCGACGAUCCCUAGCUGGUCUGAGAGGAUGAUCAGCCAAACUGGGACUGAGACACGGCCCAGACGCCUAAGGGAGGCAGCAGUGGGGAAUAUUGCACAAUGGGCGAAAGCCUGAUGGAGCCAUGCCGCGUGUAUGAAGAAGGCCUUCGGGUUGUAAAGUACUUUCAGUCGGGAGGCGUUACCGACAGAAGAAGCACCGGCUAACUACGUGCCAGCAGCCGCGGUAAUUC
rnacentral:rRNA from 1 species